rnacentral:rRNA from 1 species
ACGGGUGAGUAACACGUAAGGAACCUGCCUCAAGGAUUGGGAUAACUCCGAGAAAUCGGAGCUAAUACCGGAUAGUUCAACGGACCGCAUGGUCCGCUGAUGAAAGGCGCUCCGGCGUCACCUUGAGAUGGCCUUGCGGUGCAUUAGCUAGUUGGUGGGGUAACGGCCCACCAAGGCGACGAUGCAUAGCCGACCUGAGAGGGUGAUCGGCCACACUGGGACUGAGACACGGCCCAGACUCCUACGGGAGGCAGCAGUAGGGAAUCUUCCACAAUGGACGAAAGUCUGAUGGAGCAACGCCGCGUGAGUGAUGAAGGUUUUCGGAUCGUAAAACUCUGUUGUAAGGGAAGAACACGUACGAGAGGGAAUGCUCGUACCUUGACGGUACCUUACGAGAAAGCCACGGCUAACUACGUGCCAGCAGCCGCGGUAAUACGUAGGUGGCAAGCGUUGUCCGGAAUUAUUGGGCGUAAAGCGCGCGCAGGCGGCCUUUUAAGUCUGAUGUGAAAGCCCCCGGCUCAACCGGGGAGGGCCAUUGGAAACUGGAAGGCUUGAGUACAGAAGAGAAGA